GGGCCCGCACAAGCGGUGGAGCAUGUGGUUUAAUUCGAAGCAACGCGAAGAACCUUACCAGGUCUUGACAUCCUUUGACCACUUCUAGAGAUAGAGCUUCCCCUUCGGGGGCAAAGUGACAGGUGGUGCAUGGUCGUCGUCAGCUCGUGUCGUGAGAUGUUGGGUUAAGUCCCGCAACGAGCGCAACCCUUAUUGUUAGUUGCCAGCAUUCAGAUGGGCACUCUAGCGAGACUGCCGGUGACAAACCGGAGGAAGGCGGGG
rnacentral:rRNA from 1 species